rnacentral:lncRNA from 1 species
AACAACCCGUUAUCGGUAGUUUGCGGCUCCAAGAUAUUCAGGUAGAGGUUAACAUGAUCCUCAGGAUCUGUCGUUCCAUCGUACGAGUCUAUCUUCGGACACCGUCAAGAUUAAGGAAAAGGUUUUCUCAGGAGGUCCCUAUGAAAGGGUGCCCUUCCUAUUCUGAGAAGAUCAUGUGGGUCCCUUAGAUCAUGCUUGCCUUUACGAAGCAUUUCCUUGAUUACCCUAUUCAUGAGUGUAGCAUCGUAAUCCGCACGAAUCGUGGAACUCGAAGGUACACCCGAGUGAUGUAUUGCGGACCUGUGGUGAAAACCGAGAUGCUUAUGUCUCUUUGUUUCACCGUGGUUGUCUCCCAUAGGAGAGUGAUGCGAGUUGGGUUUGGGUUGCCCUGAGAUUGCAGGACUCUUUCCCUUGAGCUCUCGAAGCUACUUGGAUAUCCUUGAUUCGGACCGAUGAUGUGUACUUAAGUUUGUCUUCCUCAAAGGUGGGUUAGACUUGCUUGUCGUACACCGUACGGUGGUCCGACUCCUUGAAGCCUCUAGGUUGGUUAUCCUUUUGUCCAACUUCAACAUGAGAGCAUGCAUGUGCGCAAGCCUUUCCUGUGUUGUCGGAGUUGCGUUCACACCCCCAUUUAGUGGGAGUGGUGAUGACACCUCAUGUGUAGGUGAUGGUGCAUUAGAGGUUGGUACAGUACGAGGACCAACCCCUCUGCCAGAAGCUCCUACCUCAGUAGCAGUGGCGAGAGCUUUCUUUUUAUGAUCCUUAGUAAAAGGAGCCAUAAAUGGGAUGGUUGCUUCUAUCGGGUCGAAGCAACAGACUACGAGUGGAAGUUCUUCCGAAGUGUCGGAAGCUAUGGGUAGAUACCUGCCCCCCCGGGUGUCACAAAACAGAAAAAAUUUCGUUUAAUAUUUCUUUGCAGUUUUGCGACCCCCUUGAGCAGUGCUACUAGUCCCCAAAGUUUGAAAUUAGCGAAAAAUGUCGCAAAUUUUUUGCAAUUUUUCUGCAGAAAAUCGUGCUGCCGGAGGUGGUUUUCGGGAUGCCUGUUUAGACCUAUCCCAGAAAAGAUUCCUUGCACUGUUGGGAAAUUCUGCUCUUCUGUACUCGUAGAGAAAACUUUUUUCACGUGAAGUGUGGUCGUAGAAUUCCAAAAUUAGAUCUGGGUAUUCCGGAGGUGGACCGACAAAAUCACUGGAAGUGAAAAAAGGCGAAAAUCCCCAUACUUUUUUUUUUUUUACCGAAACGACGAGGCGAAUCCAACCGUGGCGAUCGAUUUUUCGUUUCGGUAAAAGCCCUAGGCUAUAAGUGGUCUUAUUCAGCCAAAGCGAUGAAUGAAGACGAUGAUCGAAUGGACGAGUUUGCCCCAAGAUAGGCGAGUUUGCCCCUUGAUAGGCGAGUUUGGCCAAGAUAGGCGAGUUUGGCCAAGAUAGGCGAGUUUGCCCCUUGAUAGGCGAGUUUGCCCAAGAUAGGCGAGUUUGCCCCUAGAUAGGCGAUUUUUGCUUGGCCAAGAUAGGCGAGUUUGCCCCUUGAUAGGCGAGUUUGCCCAAGAUAGGCGAGUUUGCCCCUAGAUAGGCGAUUUUUGCUUGGGAAAAAUCGAACCUAUGCGAAGACGUAAGUUCCAAAGCAAAGGAUGACUUGACCGAGCUUGUUCAAAAAACAAAGAAAUAAGUCGGCGAGUUAGGGGAAAACUCGGCGACUUUAGAUUUCGAGGUGUUUUUCGAACAAAGUCGUGGACAACACUCUUAACUAGCAGACGAUAUCCGGAUCGGGCGAUUGUCAAGGAUAAGUCGACGAUUUAAGGCUAAAUCGGACCUGAACCGAGAAUCGGACGAUCUAACUCGGCGACUUUUUAACAAACUCGGCGAACCCUCUAGGAGAGCUCGAGCCGGAUUUUUAAAAAAUCGCGAUUACGAC